rnacentral:tRNA from 2 species
GUUUCUGUAGUGUAGUGGUUAUCACGUUCGCCUCACACGCGAAAGGUCCCCGGUUCGAAACCGGGCAGAAGCA